GGAGCCUCUGUUUUCCCUUUCCUCUCCAGGCAUCAGCAUCUCCAGGCUUCGUAACAGCCUCGCACGUGUCCUGGGAAACUAAUUCACUAAUUAAAGCCGGUUGGGCCCAGACAGAGCUGGGUCGCUGCUGGGUGGGAAGCCUGCAAAUCCCCUAAUCCCAGCACCUGGCAUCCCAGGGAUUGGCACCCUGGCUCCCUCCCCGGAGACCGCGUUGGGGUGCUCGGCUGGGCUGCAGACCCGGCGGGAGGGAAGGGAAAAUCAGCUCGGAGCCACGGUACAAACUCCGACGCGUAGCAGGGAGACGCGGGACCCUCGAGGCACAACGAAACAGCUCCUUUUCUGGCAGAUCCCCCCGCCCCGCCGGCCGGCCGGCGGCAGGGACGCGUCAGCCGAGGGACGCGGCUCCCCACUCCCGGCGGCCCCUUCCCCAGCGGCGGGUCGCCGUCCCGCACGCCGCGCGGUUACUUCAGGACUUGUCAGGGCUGCGCCUGGGGACGCAGGAGUUUUAAAAGCCUGCCGCAUUUCUCUCGUCUCGUUACAAAAGCUACGUAAAGGACAGAAUAUAUAUUGGGAUAAUUCAUCAACUCGCCUGGCACUGGCCAGAAGAGAGAAAGAGAAGGAAAAAAGAUUCAUAAUGAAAAGAAGCCAACAUAGAAAAAUCCCUUUGCAUUUAGUGCUUUCUCCCCGCUGUAUCCUUCUGCUUUGAAUUAGGCCUGUGGGAGACCCUUCAGCCGCUCGGAUGGAUUUAGCACUCGUCACGGCCACCCGAGUCGCCCCCUGCCCAAAGCCGACCGCCAAUCGGCAGAGCAAAGGCCCCGUGGGAGGGGAUGGGACGCGUCCCCUGCUCCAUGCGUGUCCCUCAUCCAGCAGCACCACAUCUGUCCUCCCCCUCCCCGGCCCUCCGCUCGCACGCAGGGGAUGCGCUUGCGGCACUCAGCUUUAACACGGCCCAGCGCCUCUCCCGGAGGUGCGCGAGGCCCCCCGCACUGUUUGUGCCAAACCGAAAUUGGUUUCCAAGGCUGGUGUCUGAAGGUGAAGYGUUAGCAAGCACAGCACGAGGCACAAAACAAAACAGAAAGCCCGACUUGCUCUGCAGCGACUAACUAAACCCUUUAAUAAGCUGCUUUCUGGCCCAGCUGCCAGCUCCAUCCCAAAGCACCCAGCAGCACAGCAAUGUGCUCAUCUUCCACAUGAAAGCACUCAAUGCUCCACUGACGUCUGAGAUUUGGCCCCAGAAAUCAAACUCGUUUUAUUCCUCUCCCUACCCGUCUUUGCUGUUUUGCAAAAGCAAGUUCCCACCCUUUGCGGCAGGGACGGAGCAUCUCCCCUUGACGCUCUCAUCGCAGUGCCGUUGCUAACAACAGCAGCUCCGACAGCGCGGGAGCAGCGAGCAAAGUAUCGGCCCCCGGGCGGGCACCAGGCCAAAGCCUUGGCCUGCCCCAGCCCCAGCCCCAGCCCCAGCGCCGGCGCCCGCGCGCUCUAACGCUGCUGCCAGCCACCAGCCGGACCGACGCUUCGCUGCCUGCGUGGGCCGGCGGAGUGAGCAAAGUGCUCGCUGCCGGCAGCGCCGCGGGCUGCUUUUGGGUGACCCGUUUCUUUCUCUUGCUGGAAUUUCCCAAACUUUCCUCCUCUCCAUCCUCGAAACGCAGCCGGCUCCGAGUUCGCAAGGGAACAGCACCAUUCUCUGGCAAACAGAGGAACACGCU
rnacentral:lncRNA from 1 species